rnacentral:lncRNA from 1 species
UUCUCUCUAACCAUAGAGUAAACGUGUUCUAUAUUGUUUGUUUUUGUUUCGUGUUUAACUCGUUUGUGAUGAAUUCGAUUUCUUGAUUCCAAUUUUUUCUAGCCCUAGUUCUUGAUAUCCGUUGCUCCGAUUUCGAUUUCUUCUACUCGUUCUUGAUAUCCUUUGCUCCGAUUGCUUGCUUCUUGAUGGCUCGAUUUCAGGGUUUUCUAUUAAAGAGAAUGCAUCCAGAUAGACAAAUCAAGUUUCUUCAAUGAGUCGUUCUUUUAUUUUUAUUUUUUUGCUUUGAUUGCAAGACAUACGAAUUGCGAACCUGUUUUUCUGCAGCAUGAUUUGUCGAAAUACUAACGUUCUUCACAGCUAAGAAUGGACGCUCGAAUUUUGUUUGGUUAUCUCUAGUAAAAAAAUAUUCGUUUCAAUCUUUCUUUUUAGAUUCUGAGAGCAUAUUUUCUUUAAGUAAAUUUUUUCGUUUAAAUAUUUCUGUUUUCAUUCUUGAUUUUGUUCAUCUUCGGUUAGGAGAGGUAAUCUGUGAACACACGGUUCCUUUUCGGUUCUAUCUUCCUCUUGUUUGAUCUUGAUGUUUGUAUUCUUAUUCUCUUAUCCUUUUAUCAUACAGGUUCUUGAUUUUGUUCUUGCUGGUUUCUUUCAUUGAGUUUGUUUUUCUUAUUUGCAUUAUCUGCUACUAUUUUUGAGUUCGUUGGGGGUCCUGAUGCGAGUUUUCUGUUUUUAGACGUUUUGCAAGACAUGGUCAUCAUUCAUCACCCCUGGUUGAAUUUACUGAAUUUAAUUUCUAUCAUUGAAUUGUGUUAUUUUCCUAUUAUGGCUUUGAAUGUUUUGAUCUCCAUACAGAUGAAUUAAAACACGAACCCGUUUUCUGCAGUGAAGGGUGUUUUGAAGUAAAAUAACGUUUUGUGUAGUAUCAAGCCUCAGGUUUACUUUUGUACACUCUUCUUGGAUUGUAAAUCAUUUUCAUUUCAUCUGUGAGUUUUUAUUGCUAGUGUUCUUGAUUUACUCCUUUAUGAUUUCCACUUGUGAAAUUUUCGGCUUGGUGUUGGUGGUUUUGGAGAGACUGAGACAGUUUGGUGAGCCUAUCUAAUUGGCGACUUGGUUUGGAGAAUUAUGCUAUUUGUCACCAACUAUUUGUCACAGCGUAAUCAUUCUGAUUAGCUGUUUGCUGGGACAACUUUGUUGGGAGAGGUUUCUGUUAUCGUCUUUUACUCAUUAGUUGUUUUUGUGGUUAUUUGUGAUUUACGAUGAUACUCCUAAAAAGAUAUCCUCUUUGUUACAGUGGCCCAAGGACUCAUCUGUAGUAAGAAGAAGCCAAAAUUGUGUCAUUUCAUAUGGAGUACAUGAUCUUGCAAGUUGGAUGGAAAUUUGUUCCAAUGAUUCAUAAGCUCUUGCAGGCUGUGUCGUAUACUUUUAGCUGUUGCUAGCUUUUAAUUCGGCCAUCUUUACUAAGAAUCUUCACAUUUCAUUAUUUGUUUGAUACUCAGCAUAUACUUUUGUCAGUUCCUUUGAGUUUUCUGUGUGGAAGUUACAGGGGAGAUAGCCUAUGACUGUGUAGUUUGCUGUGGAACUCGUGGCAGAAAGAGGUUCAGUUCUCAAACACCCUUAGGAUAAAAACGUUACAUAUCUAAUAUCUUACUGUUUUGGGAUGUUUGUCCUUUGAUGGAGUGCCCUGCUGGUUUUAGAUUUUUUGUGUUGCUGUUUCAGCAAGAUUCUAGAGCAUUGAAGCAUACAAGAUUCUAGACUGUACAUUUUCCCUCACCGAGGAUGUGGAAUUAAGGAUAAUUUGGUUUGUCAUUUUUUUGUUCUGUUGAUUUGCCACUUCCUUUGUCAUAUUUGUUUCUAUUUUCUUGUCAAUUGUGAUACUUAGGAGUAAGGUUAAGAAUAACAGUAUUAUCUCUAGGUGUACAUGAAUUCCUUCUGGUAUAGGGGCAAAGUCUAAUUUUGCAUUGGAGCACUGGAAUCUACAAUUGGUACAUAAACUCCUUCUGGUAUAGGGAUAAAGCCUAAUUUUGCAUAGGAGCUCUGGAAUCUACAAUUGGUUGUGUCCUAUAUUAUCACGAUUGUUGUUCUUUCAUUUGGUGAUCUCUACUUUGACUAUGUUAUUGUCUGGUUUCUUAGUCUUUUGAAGACUUGUUUUCUCGAUCUUUUGAGAGCUAUGUGUGGAUGUCACAGGGGGAUGUAGACAGUGAAAGCCAUGGCAUAGAUUAUCAAGGACGUGAUUUUGCUAUGGAGAGAGCCAAUGAAUGUACCAUGGGAUGUGGAAGCUGUUGUAGACAUUAUCAAGGACAUGCCUUUGGAUUUAAUGGGUCAUUUUUCUCCUUGAAUGUGUUUAUUCUGGAAUUCUAGAAUCGGAUAUCGUAUGAUAUUGUAAUGUGGCGAUGUUGAUUUUUGUGUUUUUUACUGUAGUUGUAAGAGAGGUUCUGAAGUGCAUGUACAUCUUUUUCAAGGAUAAUUUAAGACAUGCAUUUAUGUAUUUUGCAGUGAGUUGAAGUUUAGAUAUCUAGAACGUUGAGCCUUGUUGGACGGAUAAGAAAGGGAAAGCCCUAGAUAAAUCAAAUUUCUUCAGAGUCAUUAUAAUUGUUAUUUCUGGAUGUUGAUCGCAAAACAUACAAAUGAAUUGUGAACUUAUUUUUCUGCAGUGUGGUUUGUCAAUAUGAUAACCUUCUUCCAAGCAUCGAGCCUUGAGUUUUGAUUUGGUGAUCUCUAGUAUUAUCUUUUUGUUUCAGUAUUUCCUUAUCGAUUCUGAAAGCAUUUAUUUCUAAUUGUUAUUCCCCUUUUGAUUUUGCAGGGGUGGUAAUAUGUAAAACACACAAUUCCUUCUGGUCCUAUCUUACUGGUUGAUAUUUUCUAUUUUCCUUCUUUUCUCCUUGGUUAUUAAUGUCAAUUGUGAUACAUAAGAAUAAUCAAGGUAUGCUCUUAAAAAGGAAGACAAUUGUGAUUCUCAAUAGAAUGAAUAAGACGGAGAACUGCUCUAGAUAUAAUAAUCAAAUUUCUUCAGUUAGUCGUUCUUCAUUUUUUAAUUUCUGGCUUUGAUCAGAAGAAAAAAGAAUAUAGUUGUGAGAAUAUUUUUCUGCAGCGCGAUUUGUCAAACUAAUAAUGUUCUACAUGGAGUGUGCUUUGAUGUUUGAUUUGGUGAUCUCUAGUAAAUUCUUUUUGUUUUCAAUAAUUCUCUAUCAAUCAAUUCUAAAAGCGUAUUUUAGUUGAUUUGUUGUUUCCUUUUUUGUGUUGCAGGAUAGUUAAAUCUAUGAACAUGUUAUUCCUUUUGUUUCUAUCUUGCUUUUGUAUGAUCUUUCAUGUAUUGUAUUUUGAUUAUUUUCUGUUUUCUUGAUUCUGAGUUUUGAUUUGGCUCUGGAUUUCAUCGCCGUACACGUGGAAUUGAAAUAUGAACUUUGUUUUUGUAGUAUAGUUUGUUUCGAUACAUUAACAUUCUGUGUAGAGUACCAAGUCUCAGUUUUAAUUUGGUACCCAAUACUAUAUUAUUAUAAAUUAUGUCCAUUUCAUUUCUUCUCGGUCAAUUCCUAUCAACCAGACCAGUUUUUUCGAUUUACUCUUAAAUGAUUUCCACUGUUUCCGUCAGAUGAGUCUAUUGGUGUGUGUGGUAAGAGUUGGUUGGGAUAAUUGAAAAGUUGAGCCUUAGGGGUUUUCUUAGUUCUUAUCAUUAAUACUUCUUUUUUCUUACAAAAGUUUACAUGAUUCUGGAAAAUUUGGGAGAAAAACCAAGAAAAAAGAUAGAAGAGUAGCGUAAUUCUGCAAACCAUGUUGCAUAUCAUCAGAACAAAGAGAUAGCCUAUGAUUUUGUGGUUUGCUAUGGAAACUGUGGCAUGAAGAAGUUCAGUUCUUUACAUAUCUAUUAUCUUAUUGUUUUGGGAUAUUUGUCCUUUUGAUGGGGUGCCCUGCUGGUAUUGGAUUUUUUGUGUUUCUGUUUCAGCAAGAUUAUGUAGUAUUUGAAGCAUACAAGAUUCUAGAACCUUUGCCCUCCCUGAGGAUGUGGAAUUCAGGAUAACUUGGUUUGGCACUCUUUUGUACUGUCGAUUUGCCAUUCCUUUUGUUAUCUUUUUUUAGUAUAUUAUUGUCAAUUUUGAUAUAUAAAAAUAAAAAUAAGAGUAAGGACAAAAAUAAUAAUAUCAUCCCUCAAGUUGUACAAGAUCUUUGGUGUAGGGGUGCUGUCAAAUUUUGUAUAGGAGGACUAGAAUCUACAAUUGACUGUGUCAUAUUGUCAAAGUCGUUGUUCUUUGAUUUGGUUGUCUCUACUUUUGACUAAAUUGUUCAUGUUUUUGUCUUUUGAUCAUCUUGUGUGGGUAUCACAAGGAGGAUGUAGAGUGAAAGCCAUGACAGAGAUUAUCAAAAAGAGAGCCUAUGAAUGUAUCAUUGGAUGUGAAAGCUGUUGCGGACAUUUUAAGGACAUGCUUUUAUUAAUUCUGGAAUGGGUAUCAAAAAGAGACGUUGGAUUUAGUGGGUGAUUUUUCUCCUUCAAUUUAUUAAUUCUGGAAUGGGUAUCCUGAUAUUGUAAUUUGACAAUAUUGAUUAAUGUGUUUUUUAUUAAAAGUUUAAGGAGGGCUUCAAUAUAUAUGAUUUUGAAAUACACGUACAUUUCUUUCAAAAGAUAAUUUGAGACAUGCGUUCAUCUGUUUACAGAAAGAAUUGAAGCUUAGUUCAGCUAUAGCCUUUUUUGAUACUUAAUGCAUGGAUUAAUUACAGAUUUUGAUCGUAAGGCAUACUAAUGAAUCUUUAACUUAAUUUUCUGCAGCUUGGUGUAUGAAAAUGACAACGUUCUUCAUAGCAUCGAGCCUUCAGUUUUGAUUUUGUGAUCCUUAUUACAUUCUUUUCGUUUCAGUAUUUCCGUAUUGAUUCGGAGAUAAUUUUUUUCUAAUUGUUAUUUCCCUGUUUGGUGUUGCUGGAUAAGUAAAAUGUGAAACGCACAAUUGCUUCUGGUUCUAUCUUACUGUUUGAUCCUUAUUAUUCUCACUCUCUUCUCCUUGAUUAUUUUGGUUUCCUGAAUGAGGUUUUAUUUAUGUUCUUGUUGGUUUUGAGCUUGAAGUUUGCUUUUAUUACUAUGGUUAUUGUAUUUGCUGUUAUUAUUGAGGUUUUAGGGCUUUGAUUGUUUGCUCUUCCAAUUCUUCUUUUAUUUCAAUUUUUUGAAUUUGAAUUUUUUUCUUCGUUUGAUUGUUUAUAUAGUUUUUGGAUAUAAUUAUGCAUUCGAAAAUCGAGACGUUUUUCAGCUAGCUGAUUCCUCGAUAUCUACAAUGUUUUGUGAUUCUCAAUACUACAGUUAAGACGGCUCCAGAUAGAAAAUCAAGCUUCUAAAAUUAGUCGUUCUUCAUUUAUUUUUAAUUUUGCUUUGAUUAGUAGAAAUAAGAAUAUGAUUGUGCGCAUGUUUUUUGCAUCCUGGUUUGUCAAUUUAAUAACGUUCUUUAUGGAGUGGAGCCUUCAUUUUUUAUUUGGUAAUCUCUAGUAUAUGCUUUUUGUUUUCAAUAAUUCUUUAUCUAUGCUGAAAGUGUAUUUUUUUAUUUGUUAUUUUCUCUUUGGUGUUGCAAGCUAGGUAAUCUAUGAACAUGUGAUUCCUUUUGGUUCUAUCUUCCUCUCUUUAGAUCUUUCAUGUUCUGUAUUUUGAUUAUUUUCUGGUUUCUUUACUCUAUUAUGAUUAUCACUGUUUCAGGUAAGAUAAGUCUAUUGGUUUGUGGUAAGAGUUGAUAGUUAUAAUUGAAAAGUUGAGCUUUAAAGGUUGUCUUACCAUUAAUACUACUUCCAUACAAAUUUCUACAUUUGGGUUUUUGAUUGUAUUAUGACAAUGCAAAAGCUUACACAGUUAUGAAAAAAUUGGAAUGACUUGGUGAGCCUGUCUUCUUUUUUCUUGGUUUUUUGUGCAUCUAUUUGUCACAACAUAUUUCCUCCGUACAUGUAUCAUUUUGGUGUUACAUGGGUUUGAUGUGAAGUAUUUUCCUUCUUUGUCACUCACCACCUUUCUAGUUCGCCCUUUGAUGUAGAAAAAUUGGAGAUGUGUUACUUUCUGCUUUGUACAAUAAUGUCAUGAUGGUCGUUCAUAUAUUUCCUAGCCUUUAAUUGCGGCAACCACACUUCUCGAUUCCUUUGCAAAAGAUUAGCCGGUAAGAUUAUCAACCUCUUUCUUCUAUGAGUUAUUCGUUUAUUAUUUUUAUUUCUGUGCAUUGAUCGCAAGACAUACAAAUUGAAUUAUGAACCUGUUUUUCUGCAGUGUGGCGAAGCAUAUUUUUCUUCUAGUAAAUUCUAUUCAUUUAAAUAUUUCUUUAUUGAUUUUGUCAGCAUAUUUUUCUUGAUUUUGGUUUCAUCUUUGUUGUUGCAAGUUCAAUUCCUUCUGGUUCUAUCUUUCACUGGUUUGAUCUUCUUAUUUUGUUUUCUUAUUCUUUUCUGGUUGAUUAUUUUUGUUUCUUGAUUUGGUUCUUGCUGGUUUUGAUCUGCCAUUAUUAUUACAACUGAUUUUUCUUUUAUUAUUUUAAUGAUCUGCAGCUAUUAUUUAGAUUUUAAAUUACUGUUCUUCCAAUUCUUCUUACAUUAAUACUACUUUUUCCUACAAAUGUUUGUUCUACAUUUGGGUUUUUGAUCUGUAUUCUUACAGUGCAAAAGUUUACAUGAUUCUGGAAAAAUUGGGAGAACAUGGUGGGCCUCUCUUUAUUCUGAUGAUAUGAGACAUGGUUUGCCGAAUUAUGCUACUCUUCUAUCUUUUUUCUUGGUUUUUGUGCAUUUAUUUGUCACUGCAAAAUUUUCUGUACCUGUAGCAUCUGGUGUUUCAUGACUUGAUGUGAAUGCACCUUUUAGUUCGCUCUCAGAAGUAGAGAAAUUUGAGAUGAGUGCCCUUCUGCUUUUCUGCUUUGUACAACUAAUCUUCUGUGAAUGAAUUAACAGGGACACAUGAACCAUAAUGUCAUGCUGGCUGUUUAUAUAUUUCAUAGGCAUUAAUUUCAGCAUCCACACUUCUCGAUUCCUUUGUGAAAGCUUAGGGGGUGAGAUUAUCAACCCCAUUCAAAUUUUGGAGAUAAUUGACAAUUUUCUAGUCAUAUAUUUCUUACUAAUGUUUGUUCUGGGUUGUUGUCCUCUGACUGGGUACAAUCCAAUGUUGAAAUUUUGGUGUCUGUGUGCAUAGUUUUUCUCCAGUUUAGCUUACAAGAUUCUGGAUUAACACUACCUUUCUCUUUGCGAGCAAUUUUGGAUAACUUGGUUAGGUAUCUUUUGGGGCCAACUUGGCUGGGAAGAGUUAAUAUUCUUUUACUGUUUUGUUGAUAUUUGUGAUUUGUGCUUGGUAUACUCCUAAAUAGAUAUCAGCUUCGUUACAGUGGCCGAAGGACUUGCCUGUAGUAAGAAGAAGCAAAAAUUGUGUAAUUUCAUACAAGAAGCAAAUUGGAUGGAAAUUUGUCCCUAUGUUUCAUUGUCUUUUGCAGGCUGUUUCGUAUACUUUCUACUGCUGCUAGACUUCAUAUUUGGUAUUAAGAAUUUUCACAUUUCAUUCUUUGUUUGAUACUGUACAUAUACUAUUGUCGAUUCCUUUGAGGUUUAUGUGUGGAAGUUACAGUUGAGAUAGUCUAUGUUUGUGUUGUUUGCUAUGGUACCUGUGGCACGAAGAAGUUCAGUUCACAUACCCUUCAGAUAAAAACGGUCAUUUUUUUCUCUACAUAUCUAAUAUAAUUGUUUUGGGAUAGUUGUCCUUUGUUGGAGUGUUCUGCUGGUGUUGGAUUUUUUAUGUUACUGUUUCAGCAAGAUUCUAGAAUUUUGAAGCAUACAAGAUACUAGAGUAUAACUUUUCCCUCCUCGAGGAUGUGGAAUUCAGGAUAACUUGGUUUGGCACUUUUUUGUUCUUUCGACUUGUCAUUCCUUUUGUUAUAUUUUUUUUCUAUAUUCUUGUUAAUUGUAAGGACAAAAAUAAUAAUAUCAUCUCUCAAGUUCUACAAGAUCUGGUGUAGGGGUGAAGUCAAAUUUUGUAUUGGAGGACCAGAAUCUACAAUUGGCUGUGUCAUAUUGUCAAAGUUGUCGUUCUUUCGUUUGGUUGUCUCUACUUUUGACAGAAUUGUUCACCUUUCUUUGUUUUUUGAUCAUGUUGUGUGGGUAUAACUAGGAGGUAGAGUGAAAGCCAUUGUAGAGAUUAUCAAAAAGAGAGCCUAUGAAUGUUCCAUAGGAUGUGAAAGUUGUUGGUGACAUUUUAGUGACAUGCUUUAUGCCUUUGGAUUUAAGGAUUUAGUGGGUGAGUUUUCUCUAUGAAUUUAUUAAUUCUGAAAUGCAUAUCUUGAUAUUGUAAUGUGCAAUAUUGAUUAUUGUGUUUUUUAUUACAAGUUUACAGUGGUUUCAGUAUUUAUGAUUAUGAAGUGCAUGUACAUUUCUUUCAAAGAUAAUUUGAGACAUGUGUUCAUCUGUUUAAUAGGAAGAGUUGAUGUUUGGACAUUUAGAGCCUUUUUUGAUACUAUGCAUGGAUUAGAAAAAGGAAAACUGCCAGAUAAAUCAAACAACUUCAUUGGGACAUUAUUUUUAUUUACAGAUUUUGAUCUUAAGGAUAUGGAUUGCGACAUCUGUGGCGUUAGUAUCAAGUUCAAUCAGAUAUAACUUUGAAUGUAAUGUGGGAUGUGAAGGCACUGACAUACAUUAUCAAGGAUGUGAAGCCUUUAGGAUAAAACUUGUCAUUGUAUUGAAAUGUAAAUUUUGUUUAAAUAAAUAGUUGUGUUUAUAUGAUGUGGUGUUGGUAAUAUUUUUGUUUUUAUCAAGAUAAGAAAUGCUUUAGUAUUUAUGAUUCUGCCAAACAUUGGGUAGGAUAUCGACUUUAGAGUAUAUUUCUUAGCUUUGGGAACAUCUGUGCUUUACUUUCUUAUACUGCUGCCAAGAAUAUGAAUGUUUCCAACAUUGAAAUCCUUUUUUUUGUUCAACACGCUUUUUAUUAGAUGUUUAAAUUUUGUUUCGUUAUAAUUUAUAUUUAUUUAAUUUUGAUUAAAAGAAUUUUGAACCUAAUUUUUUACUGUUUUGUAAUGUUUAACAAAGUUCUUCAAGGCAUGACUUAAAUGUAAAAAUUUGACUAUUUUGUAUUCGUUGUAGUAUUCUAAGGUUUGAACUCAUUCACUUAGAAAAGAAACUUAGAGCAUGACUAAGGAAGCAACAAAUUGAUGUUAGGUUCCAUUUAUUUAUAUGUACUUAUUUUUUAUGAUGAAACAUAAAAAGCAUAUGAUGUGUAUAUAAUUAAAUUUUUUAAAGAGUUAAUUAAGUUACUUUUAUGAGGUUUUAAUUGCUAUGUCUGUUUUUAGAAGUCUCUUUAAUUAUGAGUGACAACUUUAACCAAAUUAUGUUUGUAGGUUGUUGAUCAAUAAUUAAUAUAUAUUUAGAGAAAUUGGAGAUGAGUUCUGCUUUGUACAAUAAUGUUAUGAUGACCGCUCAUAUAUUUCUUAGGCGUUAAUUGCGGGAACCACAAUUUUCGAUUCUUUUGCAAAAGAUUAGCUAGUAAGAUUAUCAACCUCUUUCUUCAAUGAGUUAUUCAUUUAUUAUUUUUAUUUAUGUCCUUUGAUUGCAGGACAUACAAAUUAAAUUAUGAACCUGUUUUUCUGCAGUAUGCGAAGCAUAUUUUUCUUCUAAUAAAUUCUAUUCAUUUAAAUAUUUAUUUAUUUAUUUACUUUGUCAGCAUAUUUUUCUUGAUCUUCUGGUUAUAUCUUUCGCUGGUUUGAUCUUCUUGUUUUGUAUUUUUCUCGUUGUUGAUUUUGGUUUCUUGAUUUUGGGGCUUGAUUUGGUUCUUGCUGGUUUGGAUCUGCGGCUAUUAUUUAGAUUUUAACGGUUUUUUCUUUUAUUAUUUUAAUGAUCUGCAACUAUUAUUUAUAUUUUUAAUUCACUGUUCUUCCUAUUCCUCUUUUGUGUCAGUUAUUUGAAUAAUUUUCUUCGAUUGAUCAAGUUUAGUGUUAAUAUGUUGCAGUAGCCUCGACGUCUUAUGUUUGUAAGGUGUUGUAGAGAUGUUUUGCGAAACUAGAUACAUGAUUAUCUGUUUUUAACUUGUGGUUAAAUAUAGUCAAUUUUAUUUCUUCAUUGAAAUUUAUUAUUAUUGUGGUUUUAAUUUCUGACUUGAUUGCUACACAUUGAUUUGAAAUAUGGACAUGUUUUCUACAGGGUAGUGUAUCAAGCCACAAGUUUGUUUUGGUACACUCUUCUGGGAUUGUGAAUUAUUUUCUUUCAUUUCUUUUCUGGAGUUGGACUUUCUAAUGUUGUUGAUUAUGUUACAGGUGAGAUAUGUCUGUUGAUGUGGAGUGAGGGUUACAAAUGAAACGUUUUGGCUUUGGGUUUGUUUACCCAUCAAUGCUCAUUUUUUUUAACCAGAAUACGACUUUUUUUUAUUUUAUUUUUAAAAUUUUGGUUUUCAAACCUUUAACCUGGCAGUGCGGAAGUUCAUACUAUUAUGGACAGAUUGAGAAAGAUUUGUGAGCCUUUCCUAUUAAUUGCUGCUCGGCUACAUGGUUUGGAGAACUAUGUUACUUUUCUUUGUUUAUCUUGGGGUUUUUCACAAAUAGUCAAUGUAAUUUUACUGUACAUAUUUCAAAAAUAUUUUUCACAAAUACUUCAAUUGUACAUAAAAAUAGUCAUUUUUGUACUUACAUAUCUAAUAUCCUAUUGUUUUGGGAUAUUUGUUCUUUGAUGGAGUUCUAUGGAAUUUCGGAUUUUUUGUGUUGCUGUUUCAGCAAGAUUCUAGAGUAUUCAAGCAUACAAGAUUCUAGAGUUUACCUUUUCACUCAUCAAAGAUGUGGAAGUAAUAAUAACUUGGUUUGUAUUUUUUUGUUAUGAUGAUUUUCCACUUCCUUUGUUAUAUGAUUUUUCUAUAUUCUUGUCAAUUGUGAUACUUAAGAGUAAGGUUAAGAAUAACAUUAUUAUCUCUAGUUGUCCAUAACUCCUUUUGGUAUAGGGUAAAGUCUAAUUUUGCAUUGGAACACUGGAAUCUACAAUUGGUACAUGAACUCCUUUUGGUGGGGUAAAGCCUUAUUUUGCAAAGGAGCUCUGGAAUCUACAAUUGGUUGUGUCCUCACAGUUGUCGUUCUUUUAUUUGGCGAUCUCUACUUUGACUAUGUAAUUUUCAUGCUUCUUUUUCUUUGGAAGACUUGUUUUCUCUAUUUUUUGAGAGCUCUGUGUGGGUGUUACAGGGUGAUAUAGACGGUGAAAGCCAUGGCAGAAUUAUCAACGACAUGAUUUUGCUAUGGAGAGAGCCUAUGAAUGUACCAUGGGAUGUGGAUGCUGUUGUGGACAUUAUCAAGGACAUGCCUCUGGAUUUAAUCGGUCAUUUUCUCCUUUAAUGUGUUUAUUCUGGAAUUCUAGAAUGGAGUGUCAUAUGAUAUUGUAAUGUGUCAAUGCUGAUUUUUGUGUUUUUUAAGUGAGAGAUCUAAGAGAGGUUGUGAAGUGCAUGUACAUCUAUUUCAGAGAUAAUUUAAUACAUGCGUUUAUCUGUUUUGUAGCGAGUUGAAGUUUAGAUAUCUAGAACGUUGAGACUUGUUGAAUGGAUAAGAAAGGGAAAGCUCUAGAUAAAUCAAAUUUCUUCAUUGAGUCAUUAUUAUUGUUACUUACGGACUUUGAUCGCAGAACAUACAAAUGAAUUGUUACCUUAUUUUUCUGCGGUGUGGUUUGUCAAAACAAUAACAUUCUUCGAACCGUCGAGCCAUUAGUUUUGAUUGGGUGAUCUCUAGAAUUAUCUUUUUGUUUCAGUAUUUCCUUAUCGAUGCUGAGAGCAUUAAUUUGUAAUUGUUAUUUACCUUUUGAUUUUGCAAGGGAGGUAAUAUGUGAAACACACAAUUCGUUUUGGUUCUAUCUUCUUCUUGUUUGAUGUUUUGUAUUUUGAUUAUUUUCUGGUUUCUUUACUCUAUUAUGAGUAUCACUGUUUCAGGUAAGAUAAGUCUGUUGGUGUGCGGUAAGAGUUAGUGGUUAUGAUUGAAAAGUUGAGCUUUAGAUGUUGUCUUACCAUUAAUCUUACUUUUUUCAUACAAAUGUUUGUUCUACGUUUGGGUUUUCGACUUGUAUUCUGACAGUGCAGAAGUUUACAAAGUACCGGAAAAUUUGGGACGACUUGGUGAGCCUGUCUUCUUUUUUCUUGAUUUUUUAUGCAUCUAUUUGUCACAACAUAUUUCUUCUGUACAUGUAUCAAUUUGGUGUUACAUGGGUUUGAUGUGAAUUAUCAUUUUCCUUCUUUCAAAAUCACACUACACCAUUUUAGUUCGCCCUCAGAUGUAGAGAAAUUGUAGUUGAGUUCCUUUCUGCUUUCUCGGCAACAUGGUUUGGAGAAUUAUGCUACUCUUCUUUGUUUUUCUCGGAGUUUUUCACAAAUAGUCAAUGUAAUUUUACUGAACAUAUUUCAAAAACAUUUUUCACAAAUAUUUCAAUUGUACAUAAAAACGGUCAUUUUUGUACUUACAUAUCUAUUAUCCUAUUGUUUUGGGAUAUUUGUUCUUUGAUGGAGUGCCAUGGGAUUUCGGAUUUUUUGUGUUGUUGUUUCAGCAAGAUUGUAGAUUAUUCAAGCAUACAAGAUUCUAGAGUGUAACCUUUUCACUCAUCGAGGAUGUGGAAGUAAGAAUAACUUGGUUUGGUAUUUUUUUGUUCUGAUUAUUUGCCACUUCCUUUGUUAUAUGUUUUUUUUUCUAUAUUCUUGUCAAUUAUGAUACUUAAGAGUAAGGUUAAGAAUAACAUUAUUAUCUCUAGUUGUACAGAACUCCUUUUGGUAUAGGGUAAAGUCUAAUUUUGCAUUGGAACACUGGAAUCUACAAUUGGUACAUGAACUCUUGUUGGUGGGGUAAAGCCAUAUUUUGCAUAGGAGCUCUGUAAUCUACAAUUGGUUGUGUCCUCACAGUUGUCGUUCUUUCACUUGGCGAUCUCUACUUUGACUAUGUAAUUUUCAUGUUUCUUUUUCUUUUGAAGACUUGUUUUCUCUAUUUUUUGAGAGCUCUGUGUGGUAGUCACAGGGUGAUAUAGACAGUGAAAGCCGUGGCAGAAUUAUCAAGGACGUGAUUUUGCUAUGGAGAGAGCCUAUGAAUGUACCAUGGGAUGUGUAAGCUGUUGUGGACAUUAUCAAGGACAUGCCUCU